AAUUAUAAAAUAAAUCAAUCAUUUUGACGAGAAAAUAGGGAAAAGACGAAAAAUAUUUUUUUAUAAAAGUAUUUAAAUUAAAUACAAUUAAAACAAUGUGCAGCCCAAUCCAAUGUUUGCCGGAUUACAAGGAACCCCCAACGUACAUCCCCUGCAUCCCCAUCAGAGGCCCGUCAUGUCUUCCUUGUGGGAUGGACAAUUGGACGGUCCGCCGGCCGCUGAUCGUGCAUGACAGCACGUUUGACUACAGACCUACCAGCUGGCCCGGUAUGGUGCUCAACAACCAGGAUAAGAAAGUUCGGUACCAACUCAUCAAUUACGAACGGCCGGUGAAAUCACAUUACCCUACAUGCGCUCCUUCGUACAACACUUGUUAAAUAAAUUGGGGCUGUGGCGGCUGUCGACCAGCGCCGUGUUGUCAUCCGUGCAAACCCUGCUGCGGCGGUGGAUCCCUCGUCACAGUAUACAGUCAAGUAGCACAUAUCCAGUGACCAGUGCCGCACCACCGCACUCGCGAUCACUUACUAAAUGCUGUACUAGCGCUGGGCCAGCCGCCAAGACCGAUCGCAGCAUUCGACAAAGCAGUCAUUCAAAUUGGUCAUCGUUAAAUGCUGACUGAGUCAGGAUUUGACUUCAAGUCUUUUCGUCCGGUGAAAGUUCUGUACCGUCACGUACCAUAAAGUGGUUGUAUUACGUAAAAGUGUGAAUAAAAAUUGUUAUAUUUA